AUACGUAGGUGGCAAGCGUUGGCCGGAUUUACUGGGUGUAAAGGGCGUGUAGGCGGGGAUGCAAGUCAGAUGUGAAAUUCCGGGGCUCAACCCCGGCGCUGCAUCUGAAACUGUAUCUCUUGAGUGCUGGAGAGGAAAGCGGAAUUCCUAGUGUAGCGGUGAAAUGCGUAGAUAUUAGGAGGAACACCAGUGGCGAAGGCGGCUUUCUGGACAGUAACUGACGCUGAGGCGCGAAAGCGUGGGGAGCGAACAGGAUUAGAUACCCUGGUAGUCCACGCCGUAAACGAUGGAUACUAGGUGUAGGAGGUAUCGACCCCUUCUGUGCCGGAGUUAACACAAUAAGUAUCCCACCUGGGGAGUACGGCCGCAAGGUUGAAACUCAAAGGAAUUGACGGGG
rnacentral:rRNA from 1 species